rnacentral:tRNA from 1 species
GCAAGUGAAGCUGAAACUCAGCGCUUAGCUGUUAAUUAAGAGGGUGCCAGAAGGCCACUUGCG